AUCCCAAAUAUGAUCAUGUACAUGUUGCUCGACAUCUUACACGGGGCGUCAUCUCCAUGAACAUGAAAGCAGUUAGACCUUUUGAUUGCCCUGCAUCCGCCAUGAACACAACUUGAAUCAGACACAGAGGCCAUCCGGUUUUGUGGGAAAAUCUGAAAGUUUUAGGGGGUUAUUUAAGUCUCUCUGGAGUUUUUGGGGGUUAUGUGAAAUUUACCCUAAAGCUAUUGCUUUGUAAAGAACGAUGGCGUUUAACGGUUUAUGAACCUGUUCUCUUGAGACGGCCAUCAUCGUCAAAGCACUUGGAGAAGUUAGGCUGAGGGCUGAUGGCUUCGACAUCCUGAUGAGGUUUCGCCUGCGACUGAACUUCAAAGUACACUCUUGCAUCGCGAUUGUCACCUGACUGAAACCAUACAAGAACCGGGUCAUUUUUAGCGUGCAUGUACCUCGAAGAGGAAACUUACAAAUGCUUUUUUCACUCGGUUCUCGGGGGCUUACAACGUCAUCUUGAAUCCUGGAGGGAAGCGUUCUGCUCCUUGGCAACAUGGUGAACUAACACAGGGGAGUUUAGAUUGAAAAUUAAGUGGGAUAGAAAUUGAGCUGAUGGAUGUAUGAACUAGUUUAUGGGAGGAUUUGAUUUAUAAGCAAGGGAGAUGAGUGUGAAUCCAGUCCUCGUCACACAGACAAGGAGUAGUGCCGGGUACCGUGUUAUCCUGCACACCAGCAAAAGGAUGGUUGUGUGAGUCACUCAUUUAAAUGAAAGGGAUAGCAUUUGAGAUUCUUGCUCAGAGUUUUUGAAUCUUGUCACCAUUUUUUACUUUUUUACUUUUGGAUGUUAACAGCUUCGAGAUCGAGCGACCUUUCUAUUAAAAGAUUUGCUCUCACCAAACAAUAAGCAGGUUAUUUUUAGUUUUCUUUUUA